ACGCUAGUGACGAUGAUGAUAGUGAUAUGGAGGCGAACUUUGAGGAUAUUAUGAAGGAGGAGAGACGAAGUGUGCUAAUCGCAAGAAGGGAGGACGAAGAGCAGGCUAGGUUGAUAGAAGAAGAAGAAAGGAGGGAACGGAUGGCUAAACAAAAUCGCAACAUAAGCUCGGUCAUUAGAGUGACCAGCCAUAGGGAAGGGAAGUGAAGGAAGGGGAAUUUUUUUCGCCUCACUUGACAAAAAUAUAAAAA